GGAUUUUGAGAAGCUUGCUUCUUGAGAUUCAGUGGCAAACGGGUGAGUAACGCGUAAACAACCUGCCUUCAGGAUGGGGACAACAGACGGAAACGACUGCUAAUACCGAAUACGUUCUUGGUUCCGCAUGGGAUAAGGAAGAAAGGAUGGCCUCUCGAAGAAGCUAUCGCCUGAAGAGGGGUUUGCGUCUGAUUAGGCAGUUGGCGGGGUAACGGCCCACCAAACCAACGAUCAGUAGCCGGUCUGAGAGGAUGAACGGCCACACUGGAACUGAGACACGGUCCAGACUCCUACGGGAGGCAGCAGUGGGGAAUCUUCCACAAUGGGCGAAAGCCUGAUGGAGCAACGCCGCGUGAGUGAUGAAGGCCUUCGGGUUGUAAAGCUCUGUUAUUCGGGACGAAAGAGCGCAUGGCUAAUAUCCAUGCGAAGUGACGGUACCGAAAGAGAAAGCCACGGCUAACUACGUGCCAGCAGCCGCGGUAAUACGUAGGUGGCAAGCGUUGUCCGGAAUUAUUGGGCGUAAAGCGCGCGCAGGCGGCCUUUUAAGUCCAUCUUAAAAGCGUGGGGCUCAACCCCAUGAGGGGAUGGAA
rnacentral:rRNA from 1 species